GCCUCUCCGGGCGGUGCGCGGGCUCAGUGACCGAGAAACGCGCGCUCACCGAGGCCCCGCCCCUCCAGGGACUUCCGGCGGGAGGGCCCGAGGCGGCCCCUGCCCCGGCUCCUUUCCGGUGCAAAGCUUCCCGGGGUCGGGCGGGGCAGGCCCGCGGGGAUGAGCGGACGGGGUUCAAGACUGAACAGGAAGAGCUGAACAUAAGUGUGUCGCUCAGCAAACGUUUGGUGAAUGACAAAUCGUUGGAUGUUUGCUUUACGUCCACCUUCCAAGACCCCGUUGUUUCCAAAACGACAACCGGCACAUAGCCUGGCGUGCUGCCAAGAAAUGCGGAGCAGAGACCAUGGAGAGCGUACGGUGGCUGAGGAAACUGGUUCACGAGCUCUCCACUCGUCAGCGAAGGAAGAGACUACCCCUUCUGGACCCGGAGAAAUAAAGCAUUUCUGGAUGCCAAUCCAGUGCUCUCUCCAUAACCUUUAUUCAAAAAGCAUUUGAGAACCAAAGAGCUGUACGGGUGGGUACCCAAGGAGUAGAUGCUAAACAAAUGAAGUUUCUGUAGGAAGCAGCACGAUAAGAAGGAACCGCACAGACUCGAGAGAUUUCAGUUCAUACCGCGGUUUGGCGCUUAGGAACUGAGUCAUCAUAAGAAAACCUACUUGCUAGUGCCAGUUUUCUAGGCUGCUUUUGCUUAAAAGUAUAUUAUUCUACUUUAUCUCCAAGACAAGAACUCUUACUGGUUUGUAGUCACUUCCAAGAAAUCUGUAAGAGGUCUGCAGUACAUACACUAUGUUCAUUUAUCUUAACUUUAAAGUUAUUUAAAAUAAUGUACUAAAUUUCCUGUUACUCUAAUAACAUUUGAUCUAUUCUUAACAUAAUGGCACAUGGCCUUGCCUUCAUGGGACAGAGAAUAUAAAACCUUAACUACAACGUUUUAUACAUAAUAGCUUUGAAAAGAUAUAUUGGAAUGAGAAUCUAGAGGCAGGAACAAUUAGUAGAACUCUGAAAUCCCAACUUACACGCUAUUAGUAAAUAAAUAUAUUGGUUGAAAAUAUAAA